rnacentral:lncRNA from 1 species
GAUAUAGAUAUAGGGAUAUAUUUGUUUUAAGUAGUUAUUGGACGUCUGGGUUGUUUCAUUUUGUUUUCUUAUGCAAGCCAAAGCUGCCAACAAGAUCACAGUGCACAAACAUUACAUUCAUGUUUAUUUCCUGAACAAAAGUUAAUAGUAUAAUUGAAGGAUGAAAAGAUAUGGGAGGUUUAAAAUCUUCUUUUUCCCUUCUUUAGUAAGUGACCAUUGAUAAAGAUAGUACCAAUUUACCCUCAUAAAAUAUGCAGAUAUUGUGAGUGUACCUGGAUACCUGUACAGUUUUUGAGACUUGGUAUUAAAUUAU